AUUUUAUGAUACAAGAAAGAUAACUCAUACUUAACUGAAAAUAAAUGUGUAACACAACUUGAUGCACAUCACAAUUGGACAGUGGUUAGUGUGCAUCAUAUAGAUAUUAUAUAUAUGUAUGUAUGGAAGAAUUAAAUAUGUGUUACUAUGUUAUGAUAAUAGGAGUUGAAAUACUGGUUGGUUUUUGUUUUUUGUUAUGUGAUUUCCAGAUAUUGUUAGAGUAUGCCACUAUAUAUAUUAUGAUAUGAGUACAUGUAUGAAUAGAAUAAUU
rnacentral:lncRNA from 1 species